rnacentral:rRNA from 1 species
CAAGUGGUAGUCGCUUUUAUUGGGCCUAAAACGUCCGUAGCCGGUUUGGUGCAUUCGUGGUAAAAUCAAGGCGCUCAACGUCUUGAAUUUUGCGAGCACGGCCAAACUUGGGACCGGGAGAGGUGUGGGGUACUCUCAGGGUAGGGGUAAAAUCCUGUCAUCCUGAGAGGACCACCUGUUGCGAAGGCGCCACACUAGAACGGAUCCGACGGUCAGGGACGAAACCUAGGGGCACGAACCGGAUUAGAUACCCGGGUAGUCCUAGGUGUAAACGCUGUGGACUUGAUGUUGGGAGUGCUCCGAGCACCCUCAGUGUCGAAGCGAAGGUGAUAAGUCCACUGCCUGGGGAGUACGGUCGCAAGGCUGAAACUUAAGGGAAUUGGCGGGGGAGCACUGCAACCUGAGGAUUGUGCGGUUUAAUUGGAUUCAACGCCGGAAAACUCACCAUGGCCGACGGACAAAUGAAAGCCAGUGUAACGAGCUUGCUGGAUUGUUCGAGAGGUAUUGCAUGGCCGUCGUCAGUUCGUACCGCAAGGCGUUCUGUUAAGUCAGAUAACGAACGAGACCCUCAUCCCUAUUUGCUAUCUAGGUCUCCGGACCCAGCGCACUAUAGGGAGACUGCUCGCGAAAGUGGGACGAAGGGGAGGGCAACGGUAGGUCAGUAUGAUCCGAAUGCCAUGGGCCACACGCGCAAUACAAAGGACGGGACAAUGGGCUGCAACUCCGAGAGGAACGACGCUAUCCCGAAACCCGUUCGUAGUUCGGAUUGAGGGCUGUAACUCGCCCUCAUGAAGCUGGAUUAGGUAGUAAUCGCGUCUCAAUAGGGCGCGGUGAAUAUGCCCCUGCUCCUUGCACACACCGCCCGUCAAACCAUCUUAGUUGGGGGUGGGUGAGGCUACCUUAAUCAUGGGGUAUCGAGCCUG